rnacentral:rRNA from 1 species
UACGCACCGCCCGUCACACCAUGGGAGUUGGUUUGACCUGAAGACGGUGAGCUAACCCGCAAGGGGGGCAGCCGGCCACGGUCAGGUCAGCGACUGGGGUG